rnacentral:sRNA from 29 species
UUUAAAACUAGAAGUUCUUCUAAAGCAUAUCUUCCUUAUCAGGAAA